AUUGAACGCUGGCGGCAUGCCUUACACAUGCAAGUCGAACGGUAACGCGGGGCAACCUGGCGACGAGUGGCGAACGGGUGAGUAAUGUAUCGGAACGUGCCCAGUUGUGGGGGAUAACUGCUCGAAAGAGCAGCUAAUACCGCAUACGACCUGAGGGUGAAAGCGGGGGAUCGCAAGACCUCGCGCAAUUGGAGCGGCCGAUAUCAGAUUAGGUAGUUGGUGGGGUAAAGGCUCACCAAGCCAACGAUCUGUAGCUGGUCUGAGAGGACGACCAGCCACACUGGGACUGAGACACGGCCCAGACUCCUACGGGAGGCAGCAGUGGGGAAUUUUGGACAAUGGACGCAAGUCUGAUCCAGCCAUGCCGCGUGCGGGAAGAAGGCCUUCGGGUUGUAAACCGCUUUUGUCAGGGAAGAAACGCUCUGGGUUAAUACCUCGGGGUAAUGACGGUACUUGAAGAAUAAGCACCGGCUAACUACGUGCCAGCAGCCGCGGUAAGAC
rnacentral:rRNA from 1 species